rnacentral:rRNA from 1 species
AUUGGACAAUGGAGGCAACUCUGAUCCAGCCAUGCCGCGUGCAGGAAGACGGCCUUAUGGGUUGUAAACUGCUUUUAUACAGGAAGAAACCUGCUCACGUGUGAGCAGCUGACGGUACUGUAAGAAUAAGGAUCGGCUAACUCCGUGCCAGCAGCCGCGGUAAUACGGAGGAUCCAAGCGUUAUCCGGAAUUAUUGGGUUUAAAGGGUCCGCAGGCUGUUUGUUAAGUCAGAGGUGAAAUCCUACCGCUCAACGGUAGAACUGCCUUUGAUACUGACAAACUUGAGUUAUUGUGAAGUAAUUAGAAUGUGUAGUGUAGCGGUGAAAUGCAUAGAUAUUACACAGAAUACCGAUUGCGAAAGCAGAUUACUAACAAUAUACUGACGCUGAGGGACGAAAGCGUAGGUAGCGAACAGGAUUAGAUACCCUGGUAGUCUACGCCGUAAACGAUGGUCACUAGCUGUUCGAUAUACAUUGGUAUGUUGAGUGGCUAAGCGAAAGUGAUAAGUGACCCACCUGGGGAGUACGCUCGCAAGAGUGAAACUCAAAGGAAUUGACGGGGGCCCGCACAAGCGGUGGAGCAUGUGGUUUAAUUCGAUGAUACGCGAGGAACCUUACCAGGACUUAAAUGUAAGUUGCAUGAUUCAGAAAUGAAUCUUUCUUCGGACUACUUACAAGGUGCUGCAUGGUUGUCGUCAGCUCGUGCCGUGAGGUGUCAGGUUAAGUCCUAUAACGAGCGCAACCCCUAUCGUUAGUUGCCAGCAAGUAAAGUUGGGAACUCUAGCGAAACUGCCGGUGCAAACCGUGAGGAAGGUGGGGAUGACGUCAAAUCAUCACGGCCCUUAUGUUCUGGGCUACACACGUGCUACAAUGGCCGGUACAGUAAGCAGCCACUUUGCGAAAAGGAGCUAAUCUUCAAAGCCGGUCUCAGUUCGGAUCGCAGUCUGCAACUCGACUGCGUGAAGCUGGAAUCGCUAGUAAUCGGAUAUCAGCCAUGAUCCGGUGAAUACGUUCCCGGGCCUUGUACACACCGCCCGUCAAGCCAUGGAAGCUGGGGGUACCUAAAGUCGGUGACCGAAAGGAACUGCCUAGGGUAAAACUAGUAACUGGGGCUAAGUCGUAACAAGGUAGCCGUACCGGAAGGUGCGGCUGGAAUACCUCCUUUCU